rnacentral:rRNA from 1 species
UACGUAGGGUGCAAGCGUUAAUCGGAAUUACUGGGCGUAAAGCGUGCGCAGGCGGUUUUGUAAGUCUGUCGUGAAAUCCCCGGGCUUAACCUGGGAAUGGCGAUGGAGACUGCAAGGCUAGAGUUUGGCAGAGGGGGGUAGAAUUCCACGUGUAGCAGUGAAAUGCGUAGAGAUGUGGAGGAACACCGAUGGCGAAGGCAGCCCCCUGGGUCGACACUGACGCUCAGGCACGAAAGCGUGGGGAGCAAACAGG